rnacentral:rRNA from 1 species
GAACACCAGUGGCGAAGGCGACUUACUGGGCCGUAACUGACGUUGAUGCGCGAAAGCGUGGGGAGCGAACAGGAUUAGAUACCCUGGUAGUCCACGCCGUAAACGAUGAGUGCUAGGUGUAGCGGGUAUCGACCCCUGCUGUGCCGGAGUUAACACAAUAAGCACUCCGCCUGGGGAGUACGGCCGCAAGGUUGAAACUCAAAGGAAUUGACGGGGGCCCGCACAAGCAGCGGAGCAUGUGGUUUAAUUCGAAGCAACGUGAAGAACCUUACCAGGUCUUGACAUCGAGGCAAAGCCGUAGAGAUACGGUGUUCAGCAAUGAGGCCGAAGACAGGUGGUGCAUGGUUGUCGUCAGCUCGUGUCGUGAGAUGUUGGGUUAAGUCCCGCAACGAGCGCAACCCUUAUUGUCAGUUACUAACGGGUAAAGCUGAGGACUCUGACGAGACUGCCGGGGACAGCUCGGAGGAAGGUGGGGACGACGUCAAAUCAUCAUGCCCCUUAUGACCUGGGCUACACACGUGCUACAAUGGUGGUUACAGAGAGGAGCGAGCCCGCGAGGGGGAGCGGAUCUCAAAAAAGCCAUCUCAGUUCGGAUUGUGGGCUGCAACCCGCCCACAUGAAGUUG